AUGGCCAGUCUGGGUCAACAUGUGCCAAAGGACAUCAUUUCGUGGUGGUAAACGACUGUCGAAUGCGUUCUUCUGGCCCAUAAAUCAUGUCGGCCAAGUUGGGCUAUUUAGCCAGACAAUAUUUAUGUUAAAUGUCCGCUGGGAGGGAUAAAAUUCACUAAACAAAAAUAUAAAAUUAAAAUAGAAAUAAUAAUACUAGGGAAAACCCAAUAAAAACUCCAUUUAUUUUCUUUCUUCUUAUACAUUAUGUAUAUAUAUAUUUUUAAUAACUCUCUAGUGUAUAUAUAAAUUAAAAUAAAUACAUUUUUUUGUUUGUUUUUUUCUUGUUGGUUUUGCUUUUUUUUAAUAAUAUUUAUCAUUAAUCAUUAGACCACUCUCUCACUAUCAAUAGAGCUCCUAGACCUCGUCGAUAAAAACGCCGACCUCUGAUUUUUGUCUUUAUCUCAUAUCUUGGUUGUUCGAGUUGCUGGUUUGCUGUUUGCUGUUGCUGUUUGUCGUGGUUGGAAUUGCAAUGUUGCAAUGUUGCAUUCUACCAAUCAUAUGAUGCAGUAAUAAUAAUAAUAAUUAAUAGUUUGUAUAACAUAUUCCGCUUGUUUGUUUAAUAACCUUUCUUCCGUUUGCACAUUCCCGCCUCCUAACUUACUUUCUCAACAUUCUUUUUAAAUGUCAACGAUUUUUUUGGUUUAUGUUUUCUUUUUAACAGAGCAACAAACAAAGAAAUGCACAACAGGAGCAAAUGUUCGAUACUUCAGGAUACUUGGAUACUGUCCUUCACUUUCCCUUCUAUUUGUUUUUAUAUUUUUUAUUUUUUUCGGGACCUGGCCAACAAAGCGUUUUCUGUUUACUUCCGUGCUUAGAGUAGGUAUCUUUCGGUUGGUUCGAUUUCCCGAAACUUUUUCGAAAACUUGAGCAGUUUGGUUCACUAACUUAUUUGGUACAUUUUUCGUUACUAUGUGGUUGCUAUAUGAGAGUUAUCUAUCAAAGUGUCAAGCCGAGUAUUUUCUAGAAAGCUAUUCAUACUUAUAGGUUAAUUUUCAUGUUUCGAGUUUCAAGUUUGAUACUGAAGGAUGCACAAGGAUGUCUGAUAAAGAUUUCUGACCGAUUGCUUUGGAGGAGUGUCGGGUGUCAGGUCGGUCUUUAAUCCUAGACUGGAUGCUCCUAACCUACUUACAUGGCUAUACACAUACAGUUCUAGAGUUCCUAGAGAAGAAGUUCCGAGAAGUUUCAGUUUCAAGUUUCUUUGAGAGAGCCAGCGAUAGAAGUCCUGUCAAAAAGUUCGUUGUACACAAAAGCAGAAAACUCAGGCACAAAUUAAAAUCAAUAGCUGUGGAAAUCAGAGUAUAGAAAAUCAUAAAAAAAAAGGCAACACAAAGAUUUUGUUUUUAACUUUAACUAAUCAUGUGGUUUCUCUUUUAUUAUAGUUUUAGAUUUUAGCAUUUUUUUCUUUUCACUUUCCUAUAUAUUAUUAGAUGGUACAUAUACAUAUGUAGUUUAUACGCUAAGCUAAUUAUUUUGUUUAACAAUAAAUGUAUAGCUGCUUGGCUCCUCCUCCGUCUUCUUGGGGUCAUCUCUACCUCCAGCUUAGUUUUUAUUAUUAUUUUUUUUUUUUUUAUUUAUUUCUCUUACGGAUAACAACGAAAUUUUUUAGUUGCAGCUUCUUUGCAUUAAGGAACAGAAAAUGAUAAGGAAAUUCUAUUUCGAAAGAUAAACAUAAACUUAAUUGAGGUGAAAAUUCAAAUCAAAAAUCAUAUUCAACAAAUUUUCAAUAAUUAAAAUUACGAAAUAAUAAUAAUUGACUUUCUAAAUUAAAGGUUCAUCUAUAUCUUUUUAUUAUUAUUACUUUUUAUUCUGGGGACUUGGUGGUGGAUUUAGUCGAAGAGUUUAACCCAAAUUUUGCAGAACAAAAUUAUAGAUAUAAGACUCGCCCCAAUUCUGGCAGCAGAUUUCUGGGUUUACUUCUGGGUCAAGGGCCAUUUGUGAUGUCCAGUCCGUCAUAUGGUUGGUUGGUUGGUUGAUUGGUUGGUUGGUCAGUAGCUUCUGCUUUCAAUUGAGAUUUCUAACAUAAUUAAAACACAUUCAAUUAAGCACUCCAAAGCAAGGCGACAUUCAUCAGCAGAAUGGAAGAUAAGCGUUUCAAAAUGGAUCAUAAACUAGCUCUAAAGUUUGCCUCGGAGAUUCACUUGCUUUGGCGAUUCCAUUUCGAGAGCUUCACGGAUGACGAGAAGAUGUCUACCUGAAUAUCCUAUAUAGUAUAGUACGAUCUGAGGGGGAAAGUGAAUGGAAGCUACGUGUCGCGUCCUUAAGUCCGUGUGAUAUUCAUGUUUUGGGGGCCGUCGUCGUUGUCUGUUCAUUUAUUGCUUCUUCGGGUACUUGUUUCUUUAUUAUAGACUAUUUGUAAUGGCACAAAAUAUACAGCAUUCAAUUCUCUCUUAACCGGUUGUCAUCGCGAUCAUCGAUCAUUGUCCCUUCUGUAGCGGUUCGGUUAUUGUACCAGUUAUCGUACAAUGGUUACUCCUUAACUAUAUUUAAAGGCUAUAUGCUAUGCUUUGUCGGUCUCCCCCGGUUGACUUUACUUUCGCUUUCUUUGUUGGCUGCUUCCGGCUCCUGGUUUCUUGGCUCCCGGCUCCCGGCUCUCUCUCUCCGUCUGGUCUGGUCUGGUGUGGAUUGAUUUGGUUCGGUUUUGGUUCCCUGCCACGCUGCCACACUGCCACGCCCUCUCUCUGCUGUCUCCUUUUCCAGCUUCCUCUUUACCAAUAUUGCCCGACAACUCUGCGGCCAGCACUCGACGAGGCUUAUGCUCCUCCUUCCUUCUCCUCCAUUGCGUCCACUCAUUAUUUCUGGUUUAUUAUUCAUAUUUUUGUUUUUGUCAACUACUUUAUGUCCACUAGAUUAGGUUGCUAUUUAUAUUUAUCUUAGGUAUGCCGUUAUGUGUAUGUAGUUUUUUUUUUUUUUUGUUUGCUUGGUUUCUAUAUAUCCGGAAUACUCCGGCUGGCUUUACCGCGGACGCGAAC